AUUGAACGCUGGCGGCAGGCCUAACACAUGCAAGUCGAGCGGAGCGGCGGACGGGAGAGUAAUGCCUAGGCAUCUGCCUGGUCGUGGGGGAUAACGUCCGGAAACGGGCGCUAAUACCGCAUACUAUCAGAUGAGCCUAGGUCGGAUUAGCUGGUUGGUGGGGUAAAGGCCUACCAAGGCGACGAUCCGGAACUGGUCUGAGAGGAUGAUCAGUCACACUGGGACUGAGACACGGUCCAGACUCCUACGGGAGGCAGCAGUGGGGAAUAUUGGACAAUGGGCGAAAGCCUGAUCCAGCCAUGCCGCGUGUGUGAAGAAGGUCUUCGGGUUGUAAAGCACUUUAGGCAGGGAGGCGUUACCAGCAGAAUAAGCACCGGCUAACUACGUGCCAGCAGCCGCGGUAAUAC
rnacentral:rRNA from 1 species